rnacentral:lncRNA from 1 species
GCUGUUCUGAUUUUUGCGUAAAUCCAGAUCAAACUCUUUCUGGAGUCUAAUUUUUAGAGAGGAUUAGUCUGGGAUUUAAGGGAAUAAGAAUGGUCUUUGGUUUCAGUGCAUGCUUGAACAGAGGUGAGAAUGUAAAACAAAUUGCAGUAUGUCUUGAUUAUCAGAUUUGAGAUUUGAUCUGGACUUAGCAUAAUUCAAAAGAUGGUGCCGGUCA